rnacentral:rRNA from 1 species
AUUGAACGCUGGCGGCAGGCCUAACACAUGCAAGUCGAGCGGAGCGGCGGACGGGUGAGUAAUGCCUAGGAAUCUGCCUGUUCGUGGGGGUUAACGUCCGGAAACGGGCGCUAUUACCUCAUACUUUCAGAUGAGCCUAGGUCGGAUUAGCUAGUUGGUGGGGUAAAGGCCUACCAAGGCGACGAUCCGUAACUGGUCUGAGAGGAUGAUCAGUCACACGGGAACUGAGACACGGUCCAGACUCCUACGGGAGGCAGCAGUGGGGAAUAUUGGACAAUGGGCGAAAGCCUGAUCCAGCCAUGCCGCGUGUGUGAAGAAGGCCUUCGGGUUGGAAAGUACUUUCAGCGGGGAGGCGUUACCCGCAGAAGAAGCACCGGCUAAAUACGGGCCAGCAGCCGCGGUAAUUC